rnacentral:rRNA from 1 species
CAUCAGUUUUGUCCGAUGGAUAAAGGUAGUAGGAAGGUGGCUCUCUCGGGAGUGUUAUAGCCCAUUGUGUAAUACCCUGUGGUGGACUGAGGUUCGCGCAUCUGCAAGGAUGCUGGCGUAAUGGUCAUCAGCGA